rnacentral:rRNA from 1 species
UAACGAAGGGUGCAAACGUUGCUCGGAAUUGAUUGGCGUAAAGCGCACGUAGGCGGCUUAGCAAGUCGGAAGUGAAAUCCCUCGGCUCAACCAAGGAAGUGCUUUCGAAACUGCUGAGCUUGAGUACGAAAGAGGAUCGCGGAAUUCCCGGUGUAGAGGUGAAAUUCGUAGAUAUCGGGAGGAACACCAGUGGCGAAGGCGGCGAUCUGGGUCGAUACUGACGCUGAGGUGCGAAAGCGUGGGGAGCAAACAGG